rnacentral:lncRNA from 1 species
CAAGGCUAUAGCCCACCCAUUUUUGUGGCCUUUUUCCGCUGGACGAAGUUGGCGCCCCGGCCUUCGGGCGGUUAUUUUUGGGCACGGAUUUGUCCACGGCCUAGUUUUGGCACACGGAGGCCCCUCGUAAAGUCUCACGGGAUUCCGAGUCCCUCGAACCAAGUUAUCCGGCCCAACCCCCCAAGGCUAUAGCCCACCCGUUUUUGUGGCCUUUUUCCGCUAGACAAACUUGGGGCCCGGCCUUCGAGCGGUUAUUUUUGGGUGCGGCUCUGCCCGCGGCCUAUUUUUGGCACACGGAGGCCCCUCACAAAGUCUCGCGGGAUUCCGAGUCCGGCGUACGAAGUUGACCAGCCCCACCCCCCAAGGCUAUAGCCCACCCGUUUUGUGGCCUUCUUCCGCUGGACGAAAUAGGCGCCCCGGCCUUCGGGCGGGUAUUUUUGGGCACGGAUUUGUCCACGGCCUAGUUUUGGCACACGGAGGCCCCUCGUAAAGUCUCACGGGAUUCCGAGUCCGGCGGACGAAGUUGGCUAGCCCCACCCCCUAAGGCUAUAGCCCACCCGUUUUUGUGGCCUUUUUCCGCUGGACGAACUUGGCGACCCGGCCUUCGGGCGGUUAUUUUUCGGCGCGGCUUUGCCCACGUCCUAUUUUUGGCACACGGAUGCCCCUUGCAAAGUCUCACGGCAUUCCGAGCCCGGCGGACGAUGUUCGCCGGCCCCACCCCCCAAGGCUAUAGCCCACCCGUUUUUGUGGCCUUUUUCCGCUGGACGAACUUGGCGCCCCGGCCUUCGGGCGGUUAUUUUUGGGCGCGGCUCUGCCCGUGGCCUAUUUUUGGCACACGGAGGCGCCUCGCAAAGGCUCGCG